GGUACUCCUUACAGGAAGCAGAACAGGUUUAAAUUUGCUGCUUUGUAGUUUAAUCAGUUCAGUAUAUUUACAGCAAUAGCUUGCUUUGCAGGAUUUCACUGAUCAUCCCAAAUUUAUACUUUCUAAAGAAGCUGGAUAAUUUAAAAAUGUUUGGCCCUGAUCUAACUUCUACAAGGGAAAAAGAAUUCUAGGAACCUCCGAAGAGGUCUUAGAGCUACUGAUGUAUUUGUGCUGCCUGAUUUCUGUUGUGCCAAGGAUGAAAACUCCCUCAUGAUGAGCAAGGAAUCCUUAUCCCGUUGGGCUUUGCAGGUGUUUGAAUGUAGCAGUAGAGAAGAACGUAGUGAGAAGUCCCACAGCAAACUGGAGGGAAAAUCUAUUAGAAAAUGAACAACAAAACAACUCAGCACAAGUAGCACCAGCUUGAUAAAAUGGUGGAAGAAGUGUGAUGGGGCAGAGCUGCUGUUAGGUGGGGACUUGAGGCCUGAGGAGCCUACUGUGAUGGGAGGACUUAGAAGACAUAAGCCCAAUGUUCUCAAUUUCCAGUAAACUGGAUCAGUCAAUAAUUCAUUUUCCUUGGGUA
rnacentral:lncRNA from 1 species